CGUAGGCGGGAUGGCAAGUCGGUCGUGAAAUCCCUCGGCUCAACCGAGGAACGUCGAUCGAUACUGCUGUUCUUGAGGAUUGCAGAGGAGACUGGAAUUCCCGGUGUAGCGGUGAAAUGUGUAGAGAUCGGGAGGAACACCGGUGGCGAAGGCGGGUCUCUGGGCAAUUCCUGACGCUGAGGCGCGAAAGCGUGGGGAGCAAACG
rnacentral:rRNA from 1 species